CGGGGAUCUUCCGCAAUGGGCGAAAGCCUGACGGAGCGACGCCGCGUGAGUGAAGAAGGUCUUCGGAUUGUAAACCUUUGUCCUUGGUGACGAAACAAAUGACGGUAGCCAAGGAGGAAGCUCCGGCUAACUACGUGCCAGCAGCCGCGGUAAUACGUAGGGAGCAAGCGUUGUCCGGAUUUACUGGGUGUAAAGGGUGCGUAGGCGGCUCUGCAAGUCAGGCGUGAAAACUAUGGGCUUAACCCAUAGACUGCGUUUGAAACUGUGGGGCUUGAGUGAAGUAGAGGUAGGCGGAAUUCCCGGUGUAGCGGUGAAAUGCGUAGAGAUCGGGAGGAACACCAGUGGCGAAGGCGGCCUACUGGGCUUUAACUGACGCUGAAGCACGAAAGCAUGGGUAGCAAAC
rnacentral:rRNA from 1 species